UGGAUACGCACAUCUCCCGCCACAAUGGGAGCUGUAGGCACCCCUCCCCGGUCCCCCCGAGAUCGCUGGCUUCUGCAGGCUGUAUGAGUCCACACCCUCUCCCCACUUAACCCCCAGGCUUCAUCUGAGCAAGCCCAUCGAUGCCCUGGAAAUCUGGCAGAACAGCAGGAACUGAAACUGGAAGAAUCUGAAUAUACAAAGCCUGAAUAGAAUGAAAAAUACGAGCUCAGAUCCACGGCCCGUUUCUCACGGUUCUCUGUGAACAGAAGCAGCUUGUGUGAGCCUCCGUCAAGGAGAAAGAAGGGACGCAGUCAAGGUAACUGGCAGUGGACCCUGUGGCUGGGCUGCCCUCUCCGACUGUCUGGUGAGAGUCCAACGAGCUUCGAAAGAAGAGGAAGCACUUCUUCCCACAGCAGCCUCCCCAGGCCGCGCCCACUGAGGAAAAGGCCCGGACCUGCUAGUGGUGAGAGGAGAGGAGAGCCGAGCGGCACGUGUGGCACCCAUGCUCUGAAACCCCCUCUCUCGGUCCCAUUAAACAAACA